CCUUGUGAAGCUGAUAAAAGCCGGCAGCUCUGUUGGGGUUCCUCACUGCAGUGCUGGGGGUAUGUUUGAGGAGGCAGCAGAGCUAUGCAGGAACAAAGAUCUUUCACAGAUAUGGCUGUUCCUCUAACAACCAGCUUGGGUCAUAUGAGGAGACCACCCCCAGACACCCAUGCAAGAAGUCAUUCCAGAAUACUGGCACUGACAGCCCCUAGCAUUACCAUGAGGGAAACCUCCAUCAUAGAUAUCUGGGACAUUUUUUACAACAAGCACAAUGAGAGGAGUUCUCCCGUCAUGAGUGAGAAGACAAGGAGGCCAGCGACUGCCAAACAACAUAUCCGUGAAUACUCCAGGCAAGGCUCCGGGCAGAGUCUUGGUUAGGGUCAGCUUAACUGUACAAUUAUGGUUGGGCUCAUGUUAACAGUCCUCUAAACUUACAACAAAAGGAGUAUAAGCAAUCAAAUUCAAAAUCUACUGACCUGACAUUUCUGCAUUGUAACCUCAUAUCACCCUUAGCUAAAGAGGGGCAUAAUCACACUUUCUUACACAUUGUUUCACAAGUUUCAAUCCACUAGAGUUAUUCUUUAGAGAAGUUUUUCAUAGUUAAUCUACCGGUAUGCCAAUUAUUUGAUAUAUCUUAGAUUUAUGCUGAUCGAUAUGCUAUACACAGACUGCACAGACCUGCAUUUUGAAUGAGUAUACGUGUGUAUGUUUGCACACUCUGCAUAGUGGCAAUGAUGGACAAGCCUAAAGAGAACUUUUUUAAAGUCCCUUGCGAGAAUAUAUAUACAGUAUAAUAUGAUGUAUUACAUUUUCUGCAGUAUGACGGGUCAUGUGAAGAUUAUGGAGGUCCAGGCUCAGGGCCAUUUUGUGAGGCUUGGGAACUGCUCCCAGAUAGAGCAGGACAUCAGCGGGUAUUACCUGCAGCAGAGCAUUAAGGGACAACCUGUCAGCUGCUUCCUCUUCCCACCGAGAACAUACAUUCAACCGGGAGCUUCAAUCACUGUGAGUCACUGGUGCGAACGACCCACAGUUUGUCUUCCCUGCCAGCUGUAAAGAUGUUUUUUCUCAUAUGUUUGGCCAGUCAGAUCUGUGUAGCAAAUGUCUAGCAAAUGUAAAGAGAAACACCCAAGACCCUUUGAAGACCCAGUUAUUUAAGAACAUGGGCAGCAGCAAUGAAACAUCA